ensembl:snRNA U6 U6 spliceosomal RNA
GUGCUUGCUUCAGCAGCAGCACAUGUGCUAAAACUAGAACGAUACAGAGAAGAUUUGCAUGGCCCCUGCACA